CACGUAGGAGGCGAGCGUUGUCCGGAAUCAUUGGGCGUAAAGAGCGCGCAGGCGGCUUGACAAGUCGGGUGUGAAAUCCCGGGGCUCAACCCCGGGACUGCAUUCGAUACUGUCAGGCUAGAGGUAGGUAGGGGAGAUCGGAAUUCCUGGUGUAGCGUUGAAAUGCGCAGAUAUCAGGAGGAACACCGGUGGCGAAGGCGGAUCUCUGGGCCUUACCUGACGCUCAGGCGCGAAAGCUAGGGGAGCGAACAGG
rnacentral:rRNA from 1 species